AAUGCAAGUGUUUAACAGAUGCUUCACUAUUAAAAUAUUUCCCCCCCAAGUCUCAAAUAUUGAAGAAUCUCUAACCAGGCUCGAAACGCCGGUCUCAGUGGCUAUUGAGUUACCCACCAAGUUACCCCGGUUAGAGCUGUUUGGGGUGGCUCACGUUAUUGCGGCAAACUUUGGAGAUGACGGCUGAGUCCUCCGGGCGAACAUGUCAAGCCGAUUGUAAAUGCUGUUAUUUCCACAUCCUUCAGGGACACCAGUCCCUACGAAGACCUUGGGCGAUUUUGAAGUGCGGGCACCUCGAUUCCCCGAAUCUGUAGUGUGGCUGGUAUCGGUGUUCCCCUGGUUUAACUAGCCUGUUUGAAGGCACAGAUCAUUCAUGGGGAAGUAUAACCGAAACCAGUCCUCUCCACCCCCUGGGGAUCUUCACUUUCCCAGUCUACAACUGCCUGUGACUCCAGAAAGACAAACUGCAGAUUGGCCAAGGUCCAGCCUAAAUGUUACCUCCUCCAGGGAGCCUUUCCAGAUACUGCUUCUCCUCUCUCCCCCAACUCCCUCCCACAAAUGAAGUUUUCUCUUCUGAAUUCCU
rnacentral:antisense_RNA from 1 species